CACGUAGGCGGGUCGUUAAGUCAGGGGUGAAAUCCCAGAGCUCAACUCUGGAACUGCCUUUGAUACUGGCGACCUAGAGUCCGGAAGAGGUUAGUGGAAUUCCCAGUGUAGAGGUGAAAUUCGUAGAUAUUGGGAAGAACACCAGUGGCGAAGGCGGCUAACUGGUCCGGUACUGACGCUGAGGUGCGAAAGCGUGGGGAGCAAACA
rnacentral:rRNA from 1 species